AUGUCACCCUGUGUCCGCCCCCUCGUGUCCGUGUCCUUCUGUGCUCCCAUGCCCCCCCCACCCCUCUGGGUCCGCCCCCUCGUGUCCUACGGCACCCCUUGGCGCCCAUCUCCCUCCCUCCCACCCCUCCGUGUCUGUUUCUUCACCCACGCGUGUACGCGACCGAACGCUUCUCCACCCUCCGCGCCCACCACCCCUUGUGGACCCCCCUCCCCCUUAACCCUCCGCCAUCGCCCUUUUAAGAGCGGCCGCGCGGGCGGAGGAGGAGCAGCGCCGGGACGGCCGGGUGGGGGGGGCGGCGUUGCUGGAACAGCCGCGCGCGCGGGGGGAGGGAGCGGCGGCGGCGGCGUUGCGGGGACCCCCGGCCCCGCGCGGCGGUUUCAAGGUCCCCCGGGCCGGGCCGGGCCGAGGCGCAGCGCGGGGCCGGGAUGGCGGCGGGGCGCCGCCGGUGACAGCGGGGCCGUGCAGGAUGUACGGCAAGGGCAAGGGCUGCGGCGUGCCGUCCGACGGGCAGGCCCGCGAGAAGUGAGUGCCCGGGGCGGGGGGCGGGGGGGGGGGGGGGGGGGGGGGGGGGGGGGGGGGGGGGGGGGAACGGACGGACGGACGGACGGACGGACGGAGCGACGCGCGGAAGUUUUCGCGGGGGUUUCCGCCGCGGGAAUCGGGGCCGGCGGCGGCGCCUUGGGGCCGGGAGAACUGCGCUCCGCUCCGCGCGGCUGCGGGGCUGCGCGACCCCCGACGGCUCCGGGAGCGGCGAACGAACCGCGGCCCCGCGGGGAUCCCCGGAGCCGCCGAGCGCCGCGUCCCUCCGGUGUCCCCGCGCGGAUCCCGUGGGUGUCCCCGCGUCGUCGGGGUCGCGGUGUCGCGCGGGUGGGGACGCCGGCGGCGGGGUUCCGCCCCGUACCGCCGUGUCACCCGCGGGCGAACCGCUCCCGGCGCGCCGUCAGCCGGCCGUGGCCGCGGGGCCGGCGGCGCUGCCCGGGCCGAGCCGCACACGUGGCCGCGUCCGCCGGCAGCGCCGUUCCCGUCGCGGUGUCCCCGCACCGCCCCGCUGCCGUCCCGGUGUCACCGCGCCGCCCCGUCCCGCCCUGCAGGUUGGCGCUGUACGUCUAUGAGUACCUCCUGCACGUGGGAGCGCAGAAAUCCGCGCAGACGUUCCUGUCCGAGGUGAGAGCCCUGUUUGGAGGGGGGGUCGCACGCUGUGCGUCGCACCGGCCCUGUGCGCGUGUGUCCCCCCUUGCCCCCCCCCCCAUUCCCCCCCCCUGCGGUGCCGCACGGCUCCGACCGGCCCCACGCGUCCCUCUGCGCCCCGCAGAUCCGAUGGGAGAAGAACAUCACGCUGGGGGAACCGCCGGGCUUCCUGCACUCCUGGUGGUGGUGAGUGGGGAUGUGGGGGGGGGGUUCCCCCCGAAGUGCCCCCCCAAAGUGCCCCCCCAGGCUCCCUGCAACCGCUGCUCUCCUUUUCCUGUCACCCCCCCAAACCCGGCCCCGCUGCUCAGCCCCACAGCUGGAUCCAAUUUCGCCAUCCCCAAAGAGCACAAAGCCCCGCUCUGGGGGGGGGGGGUCCCGCACACUGUGUCCACCCCCCCACACACACUUUGGGUGGGUGCCCAGGAGCCGCCCCACAGCUGCUUCCCCUAA
rnacentral:lncRNA from 1 species